rnacentral:tRNA from 4 species
GGCAGAUUGCCCGAGCGGCCAAUGGGAGCGGACUGUAAAUCCGUCGGUUUAUACCUUCAGUGGUUCGAAUCCACUAUCUGCCA